UCCGAAGGGGGCUAGCGUUGUCCGGAAUUACUGGGCGUAAAGCGCACGUAGGCGGAUCUGUAAGUCAGUGGUGAAAUUUCAGGGCUCAACCUCGGAACUGGCAUUGAUACUGCAAGUCUAGAGUCUGGAAGAGGUGAGUGGAAUUCCUCGUGUAGAGGUGAAAUUCGUAGAUAUUAGGAAGAACACCAGUGGCGAAGGCGGCUCACUGGUCCAGAACUGACGCUGAGGUGCGAAAGCGUGGGGAGAAAACAGG
rnacentral:rRNA from 1 species